CCUACGGGGGGCAGCAGUGAGGAAUAUUGGUCAAUGGGCGGAAGCCUGAACCAGCCAAGUCGCGUGAAGGAAUAAGGCCCUACGGGUCGUAAACCUCUUUUGCCGGGGAGCACGGGCCGGGACGCGUCCCGGCCCGGAGAGUACCCGGAGAAAAAGCAUCGGCUAACUCCGUCCCCGCAGCCGCGGUAAUACGGGGGAUGCGAGCUUUAUCGGGAUUUAUUGGGUUUAGAGGGUGCGUAGGCGGGCUUUUAAGUCAGCGGUAAAGAUUCGGGGCUCAACCCCGUCCGGCCGUUGAAACUGGGGGCCUUGAGUGGGCGAGAAGAAGGCGGAAUGCGUGGUGUAGCGGUGAAAUGCAUAGAUAUCACGCAGAACCCCGAUUGCGAAGGCAGCCUUCCGGCGCCCUACUGACGCUGAGGCACGAAAGUGCGGGGAUCGAACAGGAUUAGAUACCCGGGUAGUC
rnacentral:rRNA from 1 species